rnacentral:rRNA from 1 species
GACGAACGCUGGCGGCGUGCUUAACACAUGCAAGUCGAACGGAAAGGCCCUGCUUUUGUGGGGUGCUCGAGUGGCGAACGGGUGAGUAACACGUGAGUAACCUGCCCUUGACUUUGGGAUAACUUCAGGAAACUGGGGCUAAUACCGGAUAGGAGCUCCUGCUGCAUGGUGGGGGUUGGAAAGUUUCGGCGGUUGGGGAUGGACUCGCGGCUUAUCCGCUUGUUGGUGGGGUAGUGGCUUACCAAGGCUUUGACGGGUAGCCGGCCUGAGAGGGUGACCGGCCACAUUGGGACUGAGGUACGGCCCAGACGCCUACGGGAGGCAGCAGUGGGGAAUAUUGCACAAUGGGCGGAAGCCUGAUGCAGCAACGCCGCGUGCGGGAUGACGGCCUUCGGGUUGUAAACCGCUUUCGCCUGUGACGAAGCGUGAGUGACGGUAAUGGGUAAAGAAGCACCGGCUAACUACGUG